ensembl:snRNA U5 U5 spliceosomal RNA
UAAUUCUGGUUUCUCUUUGGAGUACCUAAAUCUUUUGCUUUUUACUAAAGAUUUCCUUGGAGAUGAACAGUAAUGAGUUUUUUGCCGAUUUUUGAGGCCUUGUUUUUAUGAGGC